rnacentral:rRNA from 1 species
AUUGAACGCUGGCGGCAUGCCUUACACAUGCAAGUCGAACGGCAGCACGGGUGCUUGCACCUGGUGGCGAGUGGCGAACGGGUGAGUAAUGCAUCGGAACGUGCCCAGUCGUGGGGGAUAACACAUCGAAAGAUGUGCUAAUACCGCAUACGUCCUGAGGGAGAAAGCGGGGGAUCUUCGGACCUCGCGCGAUUGGAGCGGCCGAUGUCGGAUUAGCUAGUUGGUGGGGUAAAAGCCCACCAAGGCGACGAUCCGUAGCGGGUCUGAGAGGAUGAUCCGCCACACUGGGACUGAGACACGGCCCAGACUCCUACGGGAGGCAGCAGUGGGGAAUUUUGGACAAUGGGGGCAACCCUGAUCCAGCCAUGCCGCGUGAGUGAAGAAGGCCU